rnacentral:lncRNA from 14 species
CCCUGCACAGCUCCAGCCCUUCCUGUCCCUGCUCACCAGAGGGAAGAUCCCUUAUUAAUUGAUCCCUUAAUAAUUCUGCAGUCUAGGAGACCUCCUGUUCUCCUAAAGACACCAAAGCAUCCCCUUGGCAGCUCUAAGAGGGAUUGCUUUCCACGUAUCAGGACAUCAGCCAUAGAAAUGAACCCACAGUUUGGUGGCUUUGAAAGGAAUGGGAAGAUAGAGUGAAGUCAAUCCUACACAACCUCAAGGGAAUGCACACCGUGCUCUCCAGCAGGAGACCCCCAAGUGACCGAGUGCAUCCCCGUGGGAGGUGUCCCUGCUGUCCCUGCCCGUGGCAGGGGUGGGAGGGGAUGGGCUGUAAGGUCCCGUCCAACCCGCACCAGUCAGUGAUUCCGUGGUUUUGUGGGAUUUGUGCUCCAGGUGCCGCUUCCCCCAUUCACUCCCCGAACUGAGGAGCAGCCACCAGCACAGGCCGGCACCCACAGGACCCGGGUGGGCACCCGAGCCCCGGCGGGGAGGAGCAGCUGGCACCGCCCCCGUGUCCCUGGCAGCGCCCCCGUGUCCCUGGCAGCGUCCCCGUGUCCCGGUCCCGGCACGGCCCCGGGGCGGGGUGUGGGCAGGGCCGGGCGGCGGGACCGGCCCGGCGUGUGCGUGCAGGAGGCGCCGGGCCGGGCGUGCCGGGGCACAGCUCCGGGCACAGGGCAGGGACGUGGCCCGGCCGCCGCGGGGUGUCCCGGGCGCUGAUCCGCGGAGUUUCACCCGCCGGAAUCGCUGGGAGUGGCCCGAGACAAGGAGGAGUCCCGGAGCCGAUGAGGCAGCGCUGAAUCACGGGCGGUGGGGCUGGAAGGGCCCUCACGGCCCGGCCGGCCCAUGGCAGGGACACCUCCCUCUGCCCCGGCCGCUCCCAGCCCGGCCUCGGACACUGCCAGGGACCCAGGGGCAGCCACAGCCUCUCCGGGCACCCGUGCCGGGUGCUCCCCGUCGCCGCCGCACACACGGCCCGUCGCGGGGCAGGUUUAUCUCCCGGGGCAGGUUUAUCUCCCGGGGCAGGUUUAUCUCCCGGGGCAGGUUUAUCUCCCGGGCAGGGCUCGGUCCCGGGCGCGGUCCCAGCCCGUCCCCCCCCGGUCCUGCCCCUUUAAGACGCGCCCCGCGCGCGCCCCGCGCUGACGCGCGAUCGCGUGGCGCCUCUCCCCACCGCGGCCCCGCCCCCUCCGCGCGCCGCCCCG